rnacentral:tRNA from 13 species
GCCUUAGCUCAGUUGGUUAGAGCACUGGUUUGUGGAACCAGGGGUCCUCCGUUCAAG